rnacentral:lncRNA from 1 species
AGUACCAGCAAGGACACACAUACAGCCACAAAGCAAGACCUAGGAGAAAUAUUUGGUGCUCUACUCUCCUAGGGAACUGGAAGGAACCUGCUCUCUCCUGGGUAUACUUUUCUAAUUUUAGAGUGCUAAAGAAGCUCUUCUCACAGGGACCCGAGUGAAUCCUUUCUCCUUGGAACAAAGGACAAGAAAAAAAGAAAGGACUUUACCGCAGAAAUGAUGAAGAUCAUGUCUCCAAGUCUUUUCUGCCGUUGCCAGUAUUCUCUCCCAAUCUCCUGUGGGCAACUUCUUCGGGAAAACACUCAUGCAAUUUCAUAAGGACAAGCGAAAAUAUGAAGAAGCUGGAUCUUGGAACUAGGCUUUGAUCACAGAGCGGAGCUGAGAUGAAAGUCCAUCCACUCAUUCAACAAAUAAUUGAGUACUUACAAAAAUUUCUGCUGUAUGGAGCUUAUAUAGUAGUGAAUAUCAAUUCUUAUUUUAUGGAUUAUAAAACAGAACUUUUUGCAACAAUUUUACACUACCCUAGGGGUACCUAUGAGUCUUCAUGCCUCAAGUAAUUGUCCUGUCCAUGUGACUAUGGAAGCCCUGAAAUCUUUGAAACCCCAGAUGACCCAUUUCACCAGACGCUUGGACAUUCUCCGUCGAGUUUGGAUUUAUAGUGGGUACCCAGAUUUAGGUCAAGGACAUAAAAUCUGAACCACUUUAGGCACUGCUCAUAAGGAGUAAAUUCCUAGUGAAAAAGCAAUGUCCCUCAGGAAUGAUUGCUAUAGCAGGCUAAAAGGUAGAUUUAUAAAUGUUUAUAAAAAGCAGAUUGGAUUUAGCAGAGGUAGCAGUGAUGACCAGGAGCAAUAGGAGGAAAUGUUCUUAAUAGUGCUGUUUGGUGGCAUCUUCUUUUUAUACAAAGAAGUCUUGCAAGCAUUUCUACUUGAAUGACUAAUUUGGAGUAAUUUUUAGUUUCUGUAUUUUUAUUAGUUAAUAGGAUCUAGGAAUAUAAUAACCUGGUGAGAAUUUCUUCGUGAAUGGCAAUCAAAUUUGUCUUAUUCAUGAAACUCAUAAAUAAGCUAUAAUCCAGCAUUUUAUAACUAGGGAAAAUAAAACUGGGGUCCUGCUGUUUAAGAGGCUAAGGCAAUUUAACAGAACACUGGGGGAUUUAUAGUAGAUUUAUGAUGAAGAUACAUUCUAACUGGAAGCUUAAUUGUGAUUUAAAUUAUAGGUCAAGCUGAGCAAUGUGUUUUCUUUUUAGGGGGAAAUCUUUAGAGAGUUAGAGUGUGCUUGUUUAAAGAGGAAACAGACCAAAUGAGAAAACAGAUUGCAUUUUCUGUUUUUCUUUUAAAAUUUCAAGCUGCUUUAAGUCAAAUUGCCCCUGAGUUCCUGAUGAUGGCUGUGGUGAAAUUGCCUUGUUUUACUUUCUUGCCUUCUUUUCCAGAGCAGUUAUUUUACCUGAAAAUAACAAAAAGAUAUAGGCAGCAUAUCAGCCAGAAAACUAAUAUGGAAACCAGAGAUAAAGUAUACUCAACCUGCCUAGAAUUGUGACAUCCUAUAAUUUUAGGCUGAGUUGUAUAAAAUUAGCAAGUAAUAUGGAUGAAAGGGCCUUUGAAAAAUUUUUGCCACUCAUUUUGCAAAUGGGAAAAUUGAGGCUUCUAGUGGUUUUCCUAAAUUUUUUAUCUCAAGUACUUUAAGGUCUCAUGAGGAAAUAAAAUUUAUGUACAAAUAAUUUUAAUUAAAAGUAUAAAAAGUUGUUUCCCUGAAAAAUAAAACUUAAAACAGAUAACAAAAGGUUGAUUCUGUAAGGAGGAUUUCUAUUGGGAAAAGGACAGUUAGAUUUGACAGCCCAGAUGCUUACUCUCUAACAUUUCCCUACCCCUUGGCAGAAUCCUUCAAUAAUUAACACCAGGACAACCACAUAGACUUCAGCCAUGGGUGUGUCAGGGGCAUUUGAACCAGAGCAACUCCAUCUUGAAUAGGGUCUGGGCAAAGUGAGGCUGAGACCCACUGGGCUGCAUUCCCAGGAGGUUAGGCAUUCUUAGUUACAGGAUGAGAUAGGAGGUUGGCACAAGAUACAGGUCACAAAGACCUUACUGAUAAAAUAAUAUGGUACAGAAGCUGGCCAAAACCCACCAAAACCAAGAUGGUGACGAAAGUAACCUCUGGUAGUCUUCACUGCUCAUUAUGUGCUAAUUAUAAUGCAUUAGCAUGCUAAAAGACACUCCUACCAGUGCCAUGACAGUUUACAAAUGCCAUAGCAAUGUCAGGAAGUUAUACUAUAUGGUCUAAAAAGAGGAGGAACUCUCAGUUCUGGGAAUUGCCCACCUCUUUCCUGGAAAACUCAGGAAUAAUACACCCCUUGUUUAGCAUAUAAUCAAAUAACUAUAAGUAUAAUCAGUCAAGCAGCCUAUGCCACUGCUCUGUCUAUGGAGUAGCCAUUCUUCU